rnacentral:rRNA from 1 species
UACGGGGGGGGCAAGCGUUGUUCGGAAUUACUGGGCGUAAAGGGCUCGUAGGCGGCCAACUAAGUCAGACGUGAAAUCCCCAGGCUCAACCUGGGAACUGCGUCUGAUACUGGAUGGCUUGAAUCCGGGAGAGGGAUGCAGAAUUCCAGGUGUAGCGGUGAAAUGCGUAGAUAUCUGGAGGAAUACCGGUGGCGAAGGCGGCAUCCUGGACCGGCAUUGACGCUGAGGAGCGAAAGCCAGGGGGAGCAAACGGGG